rnacentral:rRNA from 1 species
CACGUGGGUAACCUGCCUUAUAGUGGGGGAUAGCCUUUCGAAAGGAAGAUUAAUACCGCAUAAGAUUGUAGUAUCGCAUGAUAUAGCAAUUAAAGGAGCAAUUCGCUAUAAGAUGGACCCGCGUCGCAUUAGCUAGUUGGUGAGGUAAUGGCUCACCAAGGCGACGAUGCGUAGCCGACCUGAGAGGGCGAACGGCCACAUUGGGACUGAGACACGGCCCAGACUCCUACGGGAGGCAGCAUG